rnacentral:rRNA from 1 species
AAAUCGUGCUGGUAGGCACUAACACAUGCAAGUCGAGCGAGAAGGUUCUUUCGGGAACUGGAGAGCGGCGGACGGGUUAGUAACGCGUGGGAACGUGCCUUAAGGUCUGGGAUAACUAUUGGAAACGAUAGCUAAUACCGGAUGGUCCCUUCGGGGUAAAGCUUUAGCGCCUUAAGAUCGGCCCGCGUUAGAUUAGCUAGUUGGUGAGGUAACGGCUCACCAAGGCGACGAUCUAUAGCUGGUUUGAGAGGAUGAUCAGCAACACUGGAACUGAGACACGGUCCAGACUCCUACGGGAGGCAGCAGUGGGGAAUAUUGCGCAAUGGAGGAAACUCUGACGCAGCCAUGCCGCGUGAGUGAAGAAGGCCUUCGGGUUGUAAAACUCUUUCAACGGUGAAGAUGAUGACGGUAACCGUAGAAGAAGCACCGGCUAACUUCGUGCCAGCAGCCGCGGUAAUACGAAGGGUGCUAGCGUUGUUCGGAAUUACUGGGCGUAAAGGGCGUGUAGGCGGACAUAUCAGUCAGGGGUGAAAUCCCGGGGCUCAACCCCGGAACUGCCUUUGAUACUGUAUGUCUAGAAUCUGUGAGGGGAUGGUGGAAUAUCAAGUGUAGAGGUGAAAUUCGUAGAUAUUUGAUGGAACACCAGUGGCGAAGGCGACUAUCUGGCACAGUAUUGACGCUGAGGCGCGGAAGCGUGGGGAGCAAACAGGAUUAGAUACCCUGGUAGUCCACGCCGUAUACGAUGUGAACUAGUCGUCGGGAAUUUGUUCUCGGUGACGCAGCUAACGCAUUAAGUUCACCGCCUGGGGAGUACGGUCGCAAGAUUAAUACUCAGAUGACUUGACCGG